rnacentral:sRNA from 1 species
UUAUGAAUGGUAUGGUGCAGAUUACCGC